GCGCCCGAGGGUGCCCACCAGUCAGCGAGGUUUCGCCCACUGGUGCCAUUGGU
rnacentral:sRNA from 1 species